rnacentral:misc_RNA from 1 species
CGCUCUGCCGCCGCGUGGGCUGCAGGACCGCCUGCCUCAUUAACUCACGCCCAGAUUUCAGAAAAAGCUUCAAAUUACACCACAUCAUGGCGGGAACCUGCGGACAGCCAAUGGACGAAUAUUAACCGAACGUUCUGCUGUGGAUCUUCCAGAAACGGCCAUGCCAUCCACAGAAAAGUAUUUAAAUAAUGAAUGGCUGUGGAGGAGAAAUGGAAAUCAUAACUUCUGAACCAAUUAUAUUGAAAAUGGGAAAAGAAAAAGGCUUGGGUAGUGUCAGACUCACAAGUGUCUCUGCAAUUAUGAUAAAGCUAGUGGUAAUUUUCAACAGUACAUAUCUCAGUUGUCGCCUGAAAACAACCUCAGUUAGUGGUGGUGAAAUUGGUGCUUUGAUUUUGAUGGACUGGCAAGUGUCCAAACUGAAGGCAGUCAUCAUUACCCUCAAUGCUUCUUUCAGGAUGUGGAAUGGGAAGCAUAUAAAACCUCUUUGCCUAUUAUGAAAUUGGGGAUAAAAAUAAGCCUGCGUAGUGUCCGACUCAAGGGUGUCUUGGCUGUGAAGAUGAAACUAGUCCUCAUUUUCAACUCUCUCUCUCAGGAAGAAAAUUUUAAGGCAUAACCUUUCAGCCAAUUAUUUUCAAGAAAACAAACUUGCUUCAGUAGUAUCAGAUUCUCAAGUGUCUUGGCUGUAAAGAGAGAACUAGUCAUCAGUUUCAACAGUGUCUCAGGAAGAAAAUUUUAAGGCAUAACCUUUCAGCCAAUUACUUUCAAGAAAACAAACUUGCUUCAGUAGUAUCAGAUUCUCAAGUGUCUUGGCUGUAAAGAGAGAACUAGUCAUCAGUUUCAACAGUGUCUCAGGAAGAAAAUUUUAAGGCAUAACCUUUCAGCCAAUUACUUUCAAGAAAACAAACUUGCUUCAGUAGUAUCAGAUUCUCAAGUGUCUUGGCUGUAAAGAGAGAACUAGUCAUCAGUUUCAACAGUGUCUCAGGAAGAAAAUUUUAAGGCAUAACCUUUCAGCCAAUUACUGAAAGAAAACAAACUUGCUUCAGUAGCAUCAGAUUCUCAAGUGUCUUGGCUGUAAAGAGAGAACUAGUCAUCAGUUUCAACAGUGUCUCAGGAAGGAAAUUUUAAGGCAUAACCUCUCGGUCAAUUAUAAUUAAAUCGAGAAAUAAACUUGCUUCAGUAGCGUCAGACUUGCAAGUGUCUUCACUGUAAAAAUAAAACUAUUCCUCGGUUUCAACAGCAUCUCUCGGGUGAGAUAGACAAGUAGACACCCAUUUUGUAGGCUCAGCUUUGUGAUGUCAAUUGUUACUAAUUACCUGUUGUUCCUACAUUAUCUGAAUGUAAUUUACAGAAGGGCCCAGAAAUUGAAACUGGUCAUAGAAUUUUUUUGUUACCUCUCUUCUGUUUUACCUUAAGUGAAAAGAUGAAAUUUGCAUUGAUCACUCUAAUUUAUUUUGCCUCACCAAUCCGCCACACCUCAACAUCUUGGUGAUGUCUAGAUGGUGCCAAUGAAGGUGCUAGAAAAUUAGUUCUUAGGAAGCUGUAUUUCAUGUUGGUUUAACUGUGCCGUAACUAGGACUAACAAACAGAAAUAUGGAGCAUAGUAAUUUUUGUAUAUGGUAAUCAGACAGUGGUUCAUAUAAAUUUAAUAUUGCUUUGUCACUGCAGAAGAUGUCUGUUGGAAUUUUAACCCCUUGGUAUGUUCAGAUGAAAUUGGUCAAAUGUAUGUUUGGGUCCUGGCAGACUGGUAAUUGUCUUUGAUGCUAGACAGGUGAGUCUAGUCUUUAUUGCCUUCAAUAUUUCUCUCGGGUAAGAUAGAGAGGUAGAUACAUUUUUUUAUCCACUCUUUGUAUCUAUCUGUACCUGCUGCCUAUUGAUGCAGCAUCAUAUAAAUGAAAUUUGGAAAGGUUGAUGUCAAAUUAAAUUGCUUUGUUUGAUACAUGUAAAUUAAAAUGUGUUUUAGUUUUUCCUAUCCAUUGUGCCACUUUAUUUAUUUAUUUUUACAAAUAGAAAUCACAGGAGGAAGCCAACAGGCAAGUGUUAUGAAACCUUUUCAUUUGCCAAAGAUUGAGGAUGUUUAGGAUUUUACUGGUGGAGGUUAUGUAGCAGGGAAAAAUACUUUUGAGGCAGGGAGUUUUAUAGUGGUAGUCUGAGUUUAAAUGGGUUUUGGUAGGUUGAGACUGCAAAGUGGAAUUUCACCAGAAAACUUCAGGUCCCUGUCAGAUGCCCUUGUAGGCUGAUAGAGGAUGCAGGGUGGUGGCACUAGUGACUGUAGCUCAUCAGUACUGACUGCAAGUACAGUUCUGUAUACAUAAAAUGAGGAAAGUGAUCAGAUUUAAAAUUUUCAAUCAAAAUGCAUGUUUGAAGUGUUUUGGUAAAGUUUUCAUUGCAAGGAAUAAAAUGCUUGCACUGAUACCGGCAUACGGUGAAACGUUCAUGAACUUAUGUCAUCCAUAGACAAAGUGCUUAACAUUAAGUUUGUCUGUCAUAACUUUACAGAAAAUCAAAAGUCAUUAGGUCUUGCUUUCUGAUGUAAAAUAGGAUUUCAAGGUCGGUGCUCUACUUGUACAAUUGUAUUGUGCUUUAAUUAAUUCCAUACUCAUAUGCAAUCCUUCAAAUGAUUUCAUCUUUAUGCAUUUAAGUACAUCAUCUUGCCUGUAAUGUCAGUGUAAAUUGCUUCCCAAAGCUUAAGCAACUUUAAGAGAUCAUACGUGUAUGAUCACGUAUUCUUACAAUUUUAGUGCAGAAUAUUACGUAAUAAACACCUUAACAAACCACAUCUAAUAAUGACCUUUAAGUUUGUCUUGUAAACAUCCUGCCAAAUAUAGUCACACCCUAACUGGCUCCUGAUCACAGAACUAUUGGCCAUUAUAAGGUGCUCUCAGGCCGAGACAGGAUACAAGACCGCUGAUGAUUGGAAUCUCGGCAGUGACAUACAAAGCUGACCACCAGUUGAUGCUUCCAUUUGUCAGUAUCAGUUAUGCUGCAAUAGAGAACAUAAGUGACCCCUUUGAAACUGUAGCUUUAAUCUUAUUUCUUUACAGCGACUUUAGUCACAUGCCUUUUGAUUAACUUCUCGUUUCAUGAUUAAUAAGACCUGUAUCCUGGAUUGCGGGUACAGGUAUUACAAAACCUGUUGAUCAUAAGGGAGGGAUUGAUCCUUAAAUUGCUUUUUAUACUGUACUGUAGUAGGAAGCUCAGAUUUUCACUUCCUCCCAGUGGAGUACAACAGGAAAGGCCAUUGUAUUUUGGUUGGCUAUUUUCUAUGAUCAAUUGGAAAUGGAAAUUGGUUAGCUAAAGUGACUACAGUAUUUAAAAGCUCCAAGUCUUUCUAACCUUGAAUGUUAAUAUCCUCAUGGCCAUUGCAACUAUAAGUGACCACUUUGGGGGAAAGAUGAUGGCCUGUGUGGGAUCCUCCAUCAUUCUUAAGUUUUGUCUUGGCUUAUUGUCUACAGCUUAUUUUCAUUUUGCAUUACAAUGUAGGGAACUGGAAACUAUGACCACUUGUGUUUGAAGCACUUGACAUUAGACAAAUUGAUUAGGAUAUGUGUUUUUCAUCGGUUUUAUAAUUCGCAAUGUCUGUAUGAGUCUCUCUCUCGGUCUGUCAAGAUGCCUAUGUCCUUCGAGUUAUCUACAGGGGCCAGGAUGUUAUAUGCCCUUUGGGAAUCAGUGGAUUGGAAUAUGGUUGGCAGGAUAGCAUCAUCAGUGUUUUUAUUAGGCUGAGACAAAGUGCUCUCAUGAUACUUCAACUAUAUAUUUUUUUUUCAUCAUAAAUUAAUAUAUGGUG